AGAGUUUGAUCCUGGCUCAGGAUGAACGCUGGCGGCACGCCUAACACAUGCAAGUCGAACGGAGUUAUUGAAGCUUGCUUUGAUAAACUUAGUGGCGACGGGUGAGUAACACGUGAGCAACCUGCCUUUCAGAGAGGGGAUAGCUUCUGGAAACGGAUGGUAAUACCUCAUAACAUAUUGAUACGGCAUCGUAUUAAUAUCAAAGAUUUAUCGCUGAAAGAUGGGCUCGCGUCUGAUUAGCUGGUUGGUGAGGUAACGGCCCACCAAGGCAACGAUCAGUAGCCGGACUGAGAGGUUGAACGGCCACAUUGGGACUGAGACACGGCCCAGACUCCUACGGGAGGCAGCAGUGGGGAAUAUUGCACAAUGGGCGCAAGCCUGAAUGCAGCGAUGCCGCGUGAGGGAAGAAGGUUUUCGGAUUGUAAACCUCUGUCAUCGGGGACGAAAAUGACGGUACCCGAGAAGGAAGCUCCCGGCUAACUACGUGCCAGCCGCAGC
rnacentral:rRNA from 1 species